rnacentral:lncRNA from 1 species
CGACAUCCGUAAAACGGGUGUACAUGUCAACAACGAUUUCGCUUGGUUUCAUAUGAAAAAGCUCGAAAUCAUGCAGUAAAAUAUUAACUUUCGAGUCUUUGACUCUACUAGUUCCCUCGUGCGUGAUUUCAAGAGUGCGCCAAAUAUCGAAAGCCGUUUCGCACAAAGAAACCCGAUUGAACUCAUUUUUGUCCAAAGCGCAAAAUAAGGCAUUCAUAGCCUUUGCGUUUAAAGAAAAAUACUUCUUCUCUAAAUCCGACCAUUCGUUCAUCGGUU